rnacentral:rRNA from 1 species
CCUACGGGGGGCAGCAGUGAGGAAUAUUGGUCAAUGGGCGUAAGCCUGAACCAGCCAAGCCGCGUGAGGGAUGAAGGUUCUAUGGAUCGUAAACCUCUUUUAUAAGGGAAUAAAGUGUGGGACGUGUCCUAUUUUGUAUGUACCUUAUGAAUAAGGAUCGGCUAACUCCGUGCCAGCAGCCGCGGUAAUACGGAGGAUACGAACGUUAUCCGGAUUUAUUGGGUUUAAAGGGUGCGUAGGCGGCCUUUUAAGUCAGCGGUGAAAGUCUGUGGCUCAACCAUAGAAUUGCCGUUGAAACUGGGGGGCUUGAGGAUGUUUGAGGCAGGCGGAAUGCGUGGUGUAGCGGUGAAAGGCUUAGAUAUCACGCAGAACCCCGAUUGCGAAGGCAGCCUGCCAAGCCAAGACUGACGCUGAGGCACGAAAGCGUGGGGAUCAAACAGGAUUAGAUACCCGGGUAGUC